rnacentral:rRNA from 1 species
ACGGGAGGCAGCAGUGGGGAAUAUUGCACAAUGGGGGAAACCCUGAUGCAGCGAUGCCGCGUGAAGGAUGAAGGCUUUCGGGUUGUAAACUUCUAUCAGCAAGGAAGAAAACGGACAGUACUUGACUAAGCAGCCCCGGCUAACUACGUGCCAGCAGCCGCGGUAAUACGUAGGGGGCGAGCGUUAUCCGGAAUUACUGGGUGUAAAGGGUGUGUAGGCGGCAAUGCAAGUCAGUUGUGAAAGCUGUGGGCUCAACUCACAAAUUGCAAUUGAAACUGCAUAGCUAGAGUACAGGAGGGGAAAGCGGAAUUCCAAGUGUAGCGGUGAAAUGCGUAGAUAUUUGGAAGAACACCAGCAGCGAAGGCGGCUUUCUGGACUGUAACUGACGCUGAGACACGAAAGCGUGGGGAGCAAACAGGAUUAGAUACCCUGGUA